AGAGUCUUAAAGCAUGGAUAGUGGAGAAAUGCUGGAAUAUUAUAUUUUUCCUACCUAUGCUUUUUUCUAUUAAAAUACAUAUAAGUUCAUUUCUACUUUUUACAUAAUAAGCAUUCUACUAUAUUACAUAUAAUCGAUGAAAUGUACUGGUAAGAGCAAGGGUUAAGUUUUACCGUCUGUUGAACAAUGAGAAAAGGACUUAAUUUGUACUUUGGAGUUUUUUGUUUUUUGUUUUUUUAAUUCUUGCUCUUCUUUCCUGAAGAAAACUUCCCAGUAGAGUCCAAGUUGUUAAAAGUCUCACUUAUACAAAUAUUUUCUUUCUCAUUCCCACAAGAAGGUCACUACCUUUCUCUUCCAUGAUGGCCUGUAGUAACACCUCGUCACAGCUCCUGACCCCAUCUGUUCCAACCUAUUUUGGAUGUUCUUCAGUGAAACUGAAUUAUUUACUUCCUGAACACCUCCCUGGUACUCUGUGAGAACUAGCUGCUCCUAAUUGCUCCAUGGCCAACUGCCCAGAGAUUAGCACCCCUGCGUGUUCUCUGCCACAGAGCUCCAAACAGCCCUUCUUAAAAUGGCAACAUGAAAAGUCCCCAAAGGUUGACAUAUCUGGUGUCAGAAAUGGGAUUUGA
rnacentral:lncRNA from 1 species